ensembl:snRNA U1 U1 spliceosomal RNA
GUACUCUCUGGCAAGGGGGACACCAUGAUCAAGUAUGUAGUUUUCCACAGAGGAGUUUCAUCCACUGUACUCAGGUGUGCUGACCCUUGUUAUUUCCCCAGAUGCAGGAAAGUCAACUGCAUAGUUUUUUUUUGUGGUGGGUGACUACAUUUGCACUCUCCCCUG